GAUGAAGAACGUAGCGAAAUGCGAUAAGUAAUGUGAAUUGCAGAAUUCAGUGAAACAUCGAAUCUUUGAACGCACAUUGCGCCCGCCAGUAUUCUGGCGGGCAUGCCUGUUCGAGCGUCAUUACAACCCUCAGGCCCCCGGGCCUGGCGUUGGGGAUCGGCGAGGCGCCCCCCGCGGGCACGCGCCGUCCCCCAAAUACAGUGGCGGUCCCGCCGCAGCUUCCAUUGCGUAGUAGCUAACACCUCGCAACUGGAGAGCGGCGCGGCCAUGCCGUAAAACACCCAACUUCUGAAUGUUGACCUCGAAUCAGGUAGGAAUACCCGCUGAACUUAAGCAUAUCAAUAAGCGGAGGA
rnacentral:misc_RNA from 1 species